GGGUGCAUGGUCUAGUGGUAUGAUUUUCGCUUCGCAUUUGACAUUCUGAUGCGCCUUGUGAAAGGUCCCCGGUUCAAUCCCGGGUGCAUCCA